rnacentral:rRNA from 1 species
AGUGAACGCUGGCGGUAGGCCUAACACAUGCUAGUCGAACGGCAGCCCAGUAAGAGCUUGCUCUUACGGGUGGCGAGUGGCGGACGGGUGAGGAAUACAUCGGAAUCUACUUUUUCGUGGGGGAUAACGUAGGGAAACUUACGCUAAUACCGCAUACGACCUACGGGUGAAAGCAGGGGAUCUUCGGACCUUGCGCGAUUGAAUGAGCCGAUGUCGGAUUAGCUAGUUGGCGGGGUAAAGGCCCACCAAGGCGACGAUCCGUAGCUGGUCUGAGAGGAUGAUCAGCCACACUGGAACUGAGACACGGUCCAGACUCCUACGGGAGGCAGCAGUGGGGAAUAUUGGACAAUGGGCGCAAGCCUGAUCCAGCCAUACCGCGUGGGUGAAGAAGGCCUUCGGGUUGUAAAGCCCUUUUGUUGGGAAAGAAAAGCAGCAGGUUAAUACCCCGCUGUUCUGACGGUACCCAAAGAAUAAGCACCGGCUAACUUCGUG